CGUACGUACAUACGUACGUUAAAAUUUUGCAGUGAAACUACUUUAUGUGAGUGUACUGUAUGUAUUUGAUUAAGGUUGGUUAUAGUAGUUUGUAUAGUAGUUUUAAUUUGUUAUUAAUUACGAAUUUGCUAAUUUGAUUUAUUAAUUUGUUUUGUGGUGAUAUCAAGAUGUGAGAGGUUUUGUUCAAUUUAUAAGACUGUGACAAGCCUGAGAUUUCAAUCAUAUCUCCCAGCCUCUGCAGGGUAAUUUAUUGAAGUUUUGGAGUUAAUUUCCCGCAGACUUCAUGUUUUCAGCAUUUCCGUUCAACAUGAUCAUACUGUAUUUCUUUCACCCGCAAGUCACUGUGGGUUUAUUACAGAGAGACAUCCUGGAUUUCUGGGAAGCAACAGGAAGUGUUUUAAUAGCUUCCAUAUUUGUGUCAUGACUCGCCCUAGUCUGAGGCACCAUAAAAUACCACAUUUCUGUUAGUUUUAACCAGUUGUAGACUGGUUUGUGAAAUCGGAGGAUGUAAACCGUAAUGGCUGCCUCUUGUUGUUUGUCAGAAUGUGCUGAAGAAGAGAGACCAAGUUCAGGCUGAGUAUGAAACAAAGUUAGAGGCAGUCGUGUUCAGGGAGGACAAAAAGACACCGGUGCCCACUGACGUGGAGAAGUGCCAGGACCGCGUGGAGUGUUUCAACGCAGACCUGAAGGCCGACUGGGACCGCUGGGAGAACAACAAACGACAGGACUUCAGACAGCUGCUGACCGGCAUGGCCGACAAAAACAUCCAGUACUACGAGAAGUGCCUUGCAGCAUGGGAGUCCCUCAUUCCAGUGUUACAAGACAAACAGGAAGCAGAAGGCGAAACGAGCUGAGCGUGUUUCAGCCGUUCUCCCGGCCACCUGCGAUGUCCAGAGCUCAUGAUCCAGGCUGUCCUCUGACCUGUCCACCACGAGCAGAGCUUUCACGGGACGGGACGAGCUCCGAGAAUCCAUUUGUAAAGUGUCUUUAUUUGUUAAAGCCCAUCCAUCCAACAACCUCUCUCUCUCUUUCUCUUUCUCUCUCUCUCAUUCUCUCUCUUUUUUGUGGAAGGAGAAUCUGCAGGACUGGAACUGCAGAAGAAACCAUAAACACUCAUGAGGAUAAGAGAGGGGAGGACGUUUUGGUGACGUCAACAAAUUUGUUGUUUUUAGUGAUCCAACAACCUCUCUCUCUCUUUCUCUUUUCUCUCUCUCUCAUUUCUCCUUUUUUUUGUGGAAGGAGAAUCUGCAGGACUGGAACUGCAGAAGAAACCAUAAACACUCAUGAGGAUAAGAGAGGGGAGGAUUUGUUGUUUUUAGUGAGAUGUUUGCCAGUUGUUCUUUUGUAAAUGCUUGUGUUUUGAUGCUGAUCCGUCCAAGGGAACCGAGACGUCAGUGUUUUGUUUUUUGGUUCGUGUUCAUGAAGAGUCCCGCUGAAGGUUUGCCAGCAUUCCUCUUGCCAAAGACGUGGAACUUAAGUCUGAUAUCUCGAUUGAAACGUUUGCUUUUUUUCCCAGAAGAUUUCCUGGACUACAAAAGCCUUGCCUGGAUCGGCCCUUCCCUCGUUAAACUCUAAACUAAGCUGUUGCGUUGAAUUGAGGGAUGUUUUCUCAGCCAUACUUGACCUCAUUAAAUAUUUAUGACUAAAGAUGUGUCAUAAUGAUUUGUACUUGUCUUAAUGGGGCAGGAUCUGUGGUCGGGUCAGCUAGUCAAGUGAGGUGAAUGUAAUGUGGGGCGUUUCCGGUGAAACUCUGGGAUAAUAAUGGAGAUCGGUUAAUCUCCAGUAAAAUCUCCAUUCAAAGUGGUUAUGCAGUGCAGGAUAGUGAAUUUUUUUUGGGCAGAAGUCUCUUUAUGCUCUCCAAUGCUACAUUUAUUUGAUUAAAAAUACAGUGAAAUAUAACAAUUUAAAAGAACUGUUUCCUAUGUGAAUAUAUGUUAAAAUGGAAUUUAUUUCUGUGAUGUGCAGCUGAAUUUUCAGCAUCAUUACUCUUCAGAAAUCACUCUAAUAUAAUGAUUUGCUGCUCAAGAAACAUUUCUGGUUAUCAUCAAUGUUGAAAACAGUUGUGCUGCUUUUUAUUUUAAUUUUCAUGUCAUACAUUUCAUUUUUCAGCAUUCUUUAAUGAAUAGAAAAAAUUAAAAGAACAGCAUUUAUUUAAAAGAGAAUGUCUUUACUGUCACUUUUGAUCAGUUUAUAGAUAUUACAGACCCCAAACCUUUAAACUGUAAUAUUCAUCACUGACAUUAUAUGAGGUAGUAUAUAAAACAGACUUCAUGAAAGGAAAGUCAGGGCUGCACGGAAGUUUGUCAUCUCUCUCAGUUCUGUCAUUUAAAGAUCACAGUUUACAAAUGCAGCUAUAUGACUUUUGUUGCUUAAUGCAUGUUGUACAUUCUGAUAUACAAUACAGUUUAUACUGUACAUUAUUAAAUUCAGUUUUUUUUUUUACAAGAACAGGUUAAAUGUAAAGUGACUGCCUGCAGAAUCUGCAAUAAUUGUGGCCCAUUAAUGUGUUAUUUUACGUACUUGAUGGUAAACAUUUUUUUUUGUCAAAUAUUAAACAACUGUAGCAUGUGUGUCAUGUUUACUUACAGAUCAGUCCAGCAGGUGUGUAUAAAGUAUAAAUUAACAAAUUAAACUAAAGCAUGUGAGGAGAAUCACUUGCAGUUUGUUAAACGUUUAUUCCCUUUGUAUGUUUUAUAUACAUCAUGUUUUUUAAAGCUCACUGAGUCGGAGACCAAGGACCGCUCUGGAGAGAUUACCACACACUAGGCUCACGGGGGAAAAAACCGUGUAGAGGUAAGCCAACCAGAUUUAGAAUUUUGGCUUUUGCCACAUUCGGAGUGUGCGUGGUGUCUGAGGCUGAGACUACAUUCUGCUUGUCUGCUUUUUUUUUUUUUCUUCAUUGGUCUGCACAGACAAAACACAUGCCAAACAUUCAUGCUGGUCUAAACAUGCCUUUAUUCAGUCCACUUUGAGUCAGUUUCUUGUACAAUUUGCUGAUGUCCAUUUUCACGCUUCAUUGUUUGGUAUUUUAAUUAAAAAGACUAACACACAAAUAACUUUAAAGCUGAACUAUAGUGUGUCCAUCUUUAAAUAUUUAUGUAUAGUCACAAUUCUGUAGUGUCAUUUAGUGUAACUGAAUACGAGUGUGUUAGAUCACAUUAACAUUUCUUUAUUUCUAUAACAGAUAGAAUAUGCCACUGAGCCAAAAACCCUUGCUGCAGCUAUAACGUUAAGUUCUUCACAUAGUAUUAGUACACUCUCUCCCAUCUUCACUCUGUCGCCAAUACACUUCCUGACAUGUUUUCUCUGCCCAUGGUCUGAUCGGGUCUAUCUUGUGUCUAUGUUGGUGACUGUAGUUUGAUUUGGUCUGGCUGAUGGCAUCCAUCACAGUCCAGUUUGAGUGUCUUGCAUCAGCAUCACACACACACUUCCAUCACCCUGCUUUUGACAUUGAUCGUGUGCCUGAUCCUUACUGGAUAUUCUAGCUCAUUUUCAAACCCUAGUGGGGUUUAUACUGU
rnacentral:lncRNA from 1 species